rnacentral:rRNA from 1 species
AUACGGAGGGUGCAAGCGUUGUCCGGAUUUAUUGGGUUUAAAGGGUGCGUAGGCGGCCCGUUAAGUCAGUGGUGAAAGGUAUCAGCUUAACUGAUGAAGUGCCAUUGAAACUGAAGGGCUUGAGUACAGACGAGGUAGGCGGAAUUUAUGGUGUAGCGGUGAAAUGCAUAGAUACCAUAAAGAACACCGAUAGCGAAGGCAGCUUACUAGACUGAGACUGACGCUGAGGCACGAAAGCGUGGGGAGCAAACAGGAUUAGAAACCCCGGUAGUCC